rnacentral:tRNA from 1 species
GGGUAUGUAAGCUCAGUGGUAGAGCACAUGCUUAGCAUGCAUGAGGUGGUGGGUUCAAUCCCCAGUACCUCCA